rnacentral:rRNA from 1 species
UACGUAGGGAGCAAGCGUUGUCCGGAAUCAUUGGGCGUAAAGCGCGCGUAGGUGGCUUCGUAAGUCCGUUGUGAAAGUCAAAGGCUCAACCUUUGAAAGCCGAUGGAUACUGUGAAGCUAGAGUACGGAAGAGGCGAGUGGAAUUCCUGGUGUAGCGGUGGAAUGCGCAGAUAUCAGGAGGAACACCAAUAGCGAAGGCAGCUCGCUGGGACGUUACUGACGCUGAGACGCGAAAGCGUGGGGAGCGAACAGG